rnacentral:sRNA from 1 species
AUACAUUGGAUAUGUGCAGGUUCCCAUUCGUUUCCUGGGGAGCCAUGUGUCCCUGAGACCAGAGAGUCUCCUCACCUAGCUCAGACUUGAAUGCUUUUGUUUUUGUUUCAGGGCAUUUGCACGUCAAAGGCAAAGAAGAAAAAAUGUCCAAAUCAUUAAAAAACUACAUUACUAUUAAGCCAUCGACUACAGCGACAGCGCCAUGCUCCAAGCUCAGCAGCUGCUCCUGGGACUGGGCUCUUUCCUGGAGGACGCACGUGCCUAUAUGAAGGGGCAGCUGGCCUGCGGCUCCGUCAGGGAAGCGAUGCUGUGGGAGAGGUAAGAGGCCCGCCUGGCACCCGGCGUGGCGCCCCUCCUGCGGCCUGCUGGGUGCUGCUGGUGGGCUCCUGAAGGUGAAGAGGGGCCCCCAGGAGACAGGGCACUGGACAGGAGGUUUGGGGUCAGGGACUUCCCAGAGAGGCCCCAGGAGACAGGGUGCUGGGCAGGAGGUGCAGGUGUGGGGUCAGGGGCUCCCCAGAGGCCACAGGAGACUGGGGGCUGGACAGGAGGUGUGGGGUCAGGGGCUCCCGAGAUGUACCAGGGAGACAGCGCUGGGCAGGAAGUGUGCCUGGGGCCCUCGGGCUCUGAGCCCCCUGCUCAGAGUGGCUUUGGGCUCGGCUUCCCUGUGCGAGGAGCGGAGCUGCUCAU